AGAUGCUGUGCUCACCCCAGAGACGGAUGGAUCACACCGUUGAAAUUUUCUCCAUGUGUGUGACUCAUUUGUGUGCAUCUAUGUACAGCAGGUAUUCUCCAAUUGCUGCUAACUGGUGCCAUAGAGAAAAAGUCACACUCCGCACCUUGUGAGAGAAGCUACUCCAGGUGAGAAGCCACUCUUGAGGCUCCAGGUGAGAAGCCACUCUUCCGGGUCUGUGUUAGGAACCAUUCUUCAGGUUCCACGUUUGAAAAGCCAGCUCUUCCGGUUCUGUGUCAAGAGUCACCUCUUCAGGUUCUACGUUCAAAGCCACUCUUCAGGGACUGUGUGAGAAGCCACGCUUCAGGCUCCACUCUUCCCUCAGGCUCCUGCCAGCACGGGCUGAACAGCUAUGCCACAGUUCUUCACGAAAAUGAACCGAGAUCUAAACCAGGAUUCCCUCCUUUAAGUUGUUUCUGGUUGACAAAAUUCAUCAUCGCGGGAGCUGUGUUUUGAAAGUGCCUGAAAGUGACAGACCUCUUCUGAGCCUAAACUCUGAGCAAGCCCAGUUCCCAAAGAUCCCCAGGCCUGUGUGUGCUAAUGGAAACUCCAGUCACUUCUUAGAACGACUUCUGGCUGAACCCCAGGACACAGCUCUCAGGACGGUGGGAUGUCAGCCCCCUAGACAAGUCAUCUUGUUCAGUUCUCCCAACCUUCCUUGGAGCAAUCUCCAUCCUUUCUGCCAGAAGCUCCUUCCUUCCAGCACUUGGUGACCCAAGCACCAAGACCACCCCUUGCCAGCCUCCAUCAGAGGCCCCGAGCAUCAGGGAUACACUUCUGCAAGAGACACGUCAACCCAGAGGUUUCAGCUGCAGCCCUAGGGAUCCCUGAAGUUCUACAGAGGAGAAUUAGUGAGACACUGAAGGAAACCAGCGAUGCUUGAGGUCUCCCAGCCCUGUCUCAGCCAGAAUGGCUGGGAUACUACUGUAAUUGAAUACGGGUACCCUAUAUACUUUUGUUUAUAGAAAGGGUUCUGUGUCACUAAAACGUUUAUAAAACAUGUGUCUGUACUAAUAAAUUUUAUAAUGGAAACAAA
rnacentral:lncRNA from 1 species